AUUCUUUUCUGCUGUGUUACU
rnacentral:miRNA from 1 species